GCAGCAGUGGGGAAUUUUGGACAAUGGGCGCAAGCCUGAUCCAGCAAUGCCGCGUGCAGGAAGAAGGCCUUCGGGUUGUAAACUGCUUUUGUCAGGGAAGAAAUCUUCUGGGCUAAUACCCCGGGAGGAUGACGGUACCUGAAGAAUAAGCACCGGCUAACUACGUGCCAGCAGCCGCGGUAAUACGUAGGGUGCGAGCGUUAAUCGGAAUUACUGGGCGUAAAGCGUGCGCAGGCGGCUUUGCAAGACAGAUGUGAAAUCCCCGGGCUCAACCUGGGAACUGCAUUUGUGACUGCAAGGCUAGAGUACGGCAGAGGGGGAUGGAAUUCCGCGUGUAGCAGUGAAAUGCGUAGAUAUGCGGAGGAACACCAAUGGCGAAGGCAAUCCCCUGGGCCUGUACUGACGCUCAUGCACGAAAGCGUGGGGAGCAAACAGGAUUAGAUACCCUGGUAGUCCACGCCCUAAACGAUGUCAACUGGUUGUUGGACGGCUUGCUGUUCAGUAACGAAGCUAACGCGUGAAGUUGACCGCCUGGGGAGUACGGCCGCAAGGUUGAAACUCAAAGA
rnacentral:rRNA from 1 species